rnacentral:tRNA from 1 species
UCAGAAAAAAGAAAUAUUAUAUUACCUUUUCAUUAAUCUCCAAAAUUAACAUUUUAAAUAAACUAUUUUCUG